AGGUCAUGCCUAUAACACCUUUAUCAGGGUAGGCACUCGGUCACGCUGUGGGUCAAGCGACCUUAGACAUGAUUGUCGAGGGUGUGAUGUGAGGAAGGGUUAAAUGCCCU
rfam:Paenibacillus sp. Leaf72 contig_6, whole genome shotgun sequence.